CUGGAGCUCCUAAGUCUUAGGAGACAAGUCAGAAUUAACUAGAAAAGGGGUAAGGCAUCCUAGACAAAAGUAAACAUACUCGACAGCAUGGAGGUGUCAGAGUGCUUGGGACAUUCGGAGGUUAUAAGUCAGAACAGCCAGAAAGAAAGGAGAGUGAGCGGAUGCCAUACAUGUACGCGGGCCUCUCACUGUUGUGACCUCUCCCGUUGUGGACCACAGGCUCUGGAUGCACAGGCUCAGCGGCCAUGGCUCAUGGGCCCAGCCGCUCCGCGGCAUGUGGGAUCUUCCCGGACUGGGACACGAACCCGUGUCCCCUGCAUAGGCAGGCGGACUCUCCACCACUGCACCACCAGGGAAGCCCUAUAUAUGCCCCGGAGUAGGAUUGCUGGAUCAUAUGCCUUACAGAUACCAUACAGCUGUUGAAAAGUGUCUGUCAACAAAACUAUUACUGUCUUUCCUGGGAUCAACACUAUAUCCUGGACCCUCAAGGUCAGCAGAGCUGCGUUCAGAGCGAGGAGAGGCGACAAGCAGAAAGCUCGCAAAACCGGUGAAAUCCCAGGCGACACUGGCAGGUGGAGGACUUUCCCCAACGGCUGUGAAUUCUAGAGGGAAAGUUGUUUCACAAAGCAAAUAGUUACUGAUAUUGUACUGUGCAUCAGACAUUCACUGGGUGAAGGAAAUUCAACCAUGAACAAGACCCAUAACCUACCCUCAGAGUUCUCAUGCCUAGAGGAGUGUCAGGCAUGCCAGGAGAAAAGCACAGUGAGAGGGUGUAAGCCAUAUGCUGCAGAGGAGAAGGGAGCAAGUCAUUCUUCUUGAUCCCAUGUGAAGACUUUCCAUAAGAACAUAUUAAUCCUCUGAGAGCAAGGCUGUAGCCAACAGGUGGCAAGGCCCAUUCCUGCACAGAAGGCAGCUGCUGGGAGCGAGAAAGGAUGCCAGGAAAAGAGAGCUUCAGUCAACAAAUACGUACAUUAAAAGUUAGAUGAUGAUUGGUCCUAUGAAGACAGAGCAGAGUAGAGAGGGAGAGAGAGAGAGAGAGAGAGAGAGAGAGAGAGAGAGAGAGAGAGGAACAAUUUUAGACACAGAGUACAGGCAAGGUCUCUCUUCUAAGGAGACAACUGAAAAAUAAAGACCUGAAAGACAUGAGAGAAAGAGUUAUGAAGAUAAUCAGCAAAAGAGCAUUAGAGGGAGAGGAAAUGGCUCCUGCAAAGGCCCUGCAGCAAGAGGGUUUGUGGCAUGUUGUAGGAACAGAGAGAGCCCAUGCGAAGGGAACAGAACAGUCAAGGGGAGCCUGGGAGACAGGGCGUCAGAGAGGUGUCAAGGAGCCAGAUCGCAUCACACCUUUAGGUUGUGGGAAAGAUUUUGGAUCUUCUCUGAGUGAGAUGAGAUGCUAGUUAAGGAUUUGCCAGGCCAUGGGGGGGAGAUGGACUGACAAGUUUUAAAAGUAACAUUAAGGUUAUAGAACUGAUCAUUAGGGACAAGGAUGGAAGCAAGGUAAGCUGCAGAAGACAACCUCACUAGUCCAAGGGGUAGAAGAUGAUGGCUUGGACCAGAGGAGAUGCUGUGGAGGUGCUGAGGUGUUGUUGGAUUCCAGGUAUAUUUGAAGGAAGAACCUUCAGGAAAUUGCUUUGAAUUGGAUGUGAUAUGAUCGAAAGAGAGGAGAUAAGCAUGACUCCAUGGUUUUACCCUGAGAAACAGGAACAACAUUUAUGAGAUGAGGAAGAAUAUAGAAGGAACAAGGUUGGAAGGCAGUUUAAGAGUUCUGUUUUGAGCCAGUCAAGUUCAAAACGUUAUGGACAUCCAAAUAGAGAAGUCUAUAGUUCAGGGAAGAGUCUGAGUUAAAGUUACAAGUUUGGGAGUCAUCAGCAUAGAAAUGACUUUUGAAGCUAAGACACUUCAAGCUAAGACAGGAUGAUAUUUUACUUAAGAGUUGAGUGUAGUCAGAAAAGACAUCUAAGAGAAUUUCCUGGUGGUCCAGUGGUUAGGACUUGGUGCUUUCACUUCCUUGCACCCGGGUUUGAUCCCUGGUUGGGGAACUAAGAUCCCACAAGCCGUGUAGCACAGCCAAAAAAUAUAUAUAUAUAUAUAUAUAUAUAUAUAUACUAGAAAAAGAAAAGAAAAAAAAAAGACAUCUAAGGACUGAGCCCUGGAAACCAUAACAUAAAAAGAGGUAGCAAAAAUCAGGAGAAACAAGCAAAAAUACAGAAAAGAAGUACUAGACAGCGAACAGAAUAACCAGACCAGAAAAAAAUUGUACCAGAAGCCAAGAGAAUUCUUUCAAAAGUAAUCAUGUCAGAUAUACUGAUAAGUGAGAAAGAUGAGGAUUGAGAAGAGCCCACUUGUUUUGGCAAGGUGAGGUCAUAGCUGAACUUGGAAGAGGCUGUUUUGGUAGAGUGAUGGGGCCAAAGCCCAACUAGAGUUGGUUGAGAGAAGUCCAAGAGGAUAAUAAAUGGAGGCAGUGAAUAAGGACAACUCUUUUGAGGAGUUUUACUGUAAAGGAGCAGAGCUGGAAGGCAGUGUGAGGCCAAGGCAGGGUUUUGUUUUGUUUUCGACAAUGGAGUACAGUAUUUAGCUUGUUUGUGAUGUGAAUAGUUUAGUAGAAAGGAAAAAGUAGAUGAUAUAGAAACAUACAAAGGAUUUCAGGAGAGGUGCUGUAUUAUGCUGCCAUAACAAAGUAUCAUACACUGGGUGGUUGACAACAGAAAUUUAUUGUCUCAGUUCUGGAGGCUAGAAGUCUGAAAUCAAGGUGUUGGUAAGAUUGGUUUCUGCUGAAGACCUCUCUUCUUGGCUUGUAGAUGGCUGUUUUCUAUUUUCUUCACAUGAUCUUCCCUCUGUUCCUGUCUGUGUCCUAAUCUUCUCUUAUAAGGACACCAGUCUUAUUGGAUUAGGUUCCACCCAUAUGACAUCACUUAACCUUAAUUACCUCUUUAAAGACCUUAUGUCCAAAUACAGUCACAUUCUGAUUCUGAGGUACUGGGGUUUAGGACUUCAACAUCUGAACUUUGGAGGGACACAAUUCAGCCCAUAACAGAUGCCCUUGGGUAGAUGAGAGGGGAUGGGCUGAAGUGCAUAUAUAGAAGGUUUUAGCAUAUCCAUAAAAAGAGGCUGGAAGGAAGAAAACAUGGGAACAGAUAUACAGAGUUUCCUUGGUUUAGUGUUUUCUUCAUGAAAUAAGAAGCCAGGUAAUGGCCAAGAGGGAAGUUGGAGGAGAUGUUGGAAGUUUAAGAAGAAUGGAAAAGAGGUAAAGCAGUCAUCUAGGAGAGUGGUGGAGUGACUGGUAAAAGGAAAUAGAGUAGACUUGCGGGGCAGCACCAGGACCCACCUGAACUAAGUUGCCAUGGCUUAAAUGUGAGCUCCAUACAUGAGAUUGAGAGCUUUAUUCUCCUGUUAUGUUCAGCUUCCUGGGAAUGAUAUGGAGUAGAGAUUUUAGUUUAAUUAAAGUUGCAGUUUUGCUAGAUGAGUAUGGUGAUGGGAGAGAGGAAUGAAAGAGCUGAGUUUGUGUACAAGGUCGUGAUUAUGAUGAUGAACUAUGGAAUCAAAGGUGGGAGGAAAAAGAGGAGAUAAGGAAGGAUGACUGAUAGUGCAAAUGGAGUAGGAUCCAUAGGUUUGUAGCUUUCUGUGGAAUUGGGGAACUAUUGGAGACAAGAGACUAGAUAGAGUGAGUUUAAAGGAUAGGAAAUGCUAGUCAUGGAGAGGAACGCUUGAAAUGAGAUCUAGAGUAGCUGCAGUUCUUUUUCUUUUUUUUUUUUUUUUUUGCGGUACGCGGGCCUCUCACUGCU